rnacentral:misc_RNA from 1 species
GAUGAAGAACGCAGCAAAAUGCGAUAAGUAAUGUGAAUUGCAGAAUUCAGUGAAUCAUCGAAUCUUUGAACGCACAUUGCGCCCUUUGGUAUUCCUUAGGGCAUGCCUGUUCGAGCGUCAUUUAAACCUUCAAGCUCAGCUUGGUGUUGGGUGACUGUCCGCUUCACCGCGGACUCGCCUCAAAAUUAUUGGCGGCCGGUACAUUGGCUUCGAGCGCAGCAGAAACGCGAACUCGGGCCCGUCGUAUUGGCUCCCAGAAGCUAUCUUCACAAUUUUGACCUCGGAUCAGGUAGGGAUACCCGCUGAACUUAAGCAUAUCAAUAAGCGGAGGA